rnacentral:rRNA from 1 species
GGCUGUUCGCCCAUUAAAGUGGUACGCGAGCUGGGUUCAGAACGUCGUGAGACAGUUCGGUCCCUAUCCGUCGCAGGCGUAGGAAAUUUGAGAAGACCUGUCCUUAGUACGAGAGGACCGGGAUGGACGUACCUCUGGUGUACCAGUUGUCCUGCCAAGGGCAUGGCUGGGUAGCUAUGUACGGAAUGGAUAAGCGCUGAAAGCAUCUAAGCGCGAAGCCAACUUCAAGAUAAGAUUUCCCACCGCAAGGGUAAGACCCCAGAAAGACUAUCUGGUUGAUAGGUCGAAGGUGUAAGUGCAGCAAUGUAUUUAGCUUAUCGAUACUAAUAGGUCGAGGACUUGACCAAU